rnacentral:lncRNA from 1 species
AGUUUUAGGACAAGACUUUGGAAUUUAAGACAAAGCCUUAUCUAGUCCAGAAAGGGUUAGGAAGGUUCUAAAGUAGAAGAUUCAGAAGUCCAGAGGAGGUUCUAAGAGGGUGGAGUCAGGUUCUUGGAGAAACCUGACCGAUACAGGGCUAGUCGAGUUCUAGGGGCUAGACUCUUGAAGCAAGGUGAAGGAGAAGCAUUGUCUUUGGUCUAAUUUUCAUAUGGAUUACCAUUGGAGGGUGGACACUUGGACGUCUCAUGAAAAUUGGA